GCGGCGUGCUUAAACAUGCAAGUCGARSGKKKUUYKYKYCUUCGGGUGGGGAUUAGUGGCGAACGGGUGAGUAAMAMGUGGGCAAUCUSCCCUGCACUCUGGGACAAGCCCUGGAAACGGGGUCUAAUACCGGAUACUGAACCACUUGGGCAUCCUGGUGGUUCGAAAGCUCCGGCGGUGCAGGAUGAGCCCGCGGCCUAUCAGCUUGUUGGUGAGGUAACGGCUCACCAAGGCGACGACGGGUAGCCGGCCUGAGAGGGCGACCGGCCACACUGGGACUGAGACACGGCCCAGACUCCUACGGGAGGCAGCAGUGGGGAAUAUUGCACAAUGGGCGAAAGCCUGAUGCAGCGACGCCGCGUGAGGGAUGACGGCCUUCGGGUUGUAAACCUCUUUCAGCAGGGAAGAAGCGAGAGUGACGGUACCCUGCAGAAGAAGCGCCCGGCUAACUACGUGCCASCAKCCCSCGGUA
rnacentral:rRNA from 1 species